AUUCUAUCUUAUGAGAGGGUGUUAAAGCAAACCCUUAAAGUACCAUUUGAUGUUGAUGUUAACUCAUUUAAAUGAUUUUUAGAUUUCAGGUUUUUAGGUUAAGGCUAAAGAGACAGAACAGUUUUAAGUACUAGGAUUUUAUAAGUUACAAGUUCUAAUGCUUAUAACCCUGAUUGGAGGUUUUCCUAUUUUGGCUUUUUUCUAAUCUGUAUAAAUUUAAGCAAAUUGCUUAGUUUUUGAAACAGCCAUAUAAUAAAGUUGGACUAGAAUAAUUCUUAAUCCUAAGCAAAACAACAACAACAACAAAUUUGUAAUGCUGUUUGGUUAUGCAUUGUGUUUCUU
rnacentral:lncRNA from 1 species